GACGAACGCUGGCGGCGUGCCUAACACAUGCAAGUCGAACGAAGCUUGAUUUCUGAUUUUUUCGGAAUGACGAAUGAUAUGACUGAGUGGCGGACGGGUGAGUAACGCGUGAGCAACCUGCCCUUCGGAACGAGAUAGUGUCUGGAAACGGACAGUAAUACCGUAUAAUAUAUAUUGAUCGCAUGGUUGAUACAUCAAAACUGAGGUGCCGAAGGGUGGGCUCGCGUCUGAUUAGAUAGUUGGUGGGGUAACGGCCUACCAAGUCGACGAUCAGUAGCCGGACUGAGAGGUUGAACGGCCACAUUGGGACUGAGACACGGCCCAGACUCCUACGGGAGGCAGCAGUGGGGAAUAUUGCACAAUGGGGGAAACCCUGAUGCAGCAACGCCGCGUGAAGGAAGACGGUUUUCGGAUUGUAAACUUCUGUUCUUAGUGAAGAAUAAUGACGGUAGCUAAGGAGCAAGCCACGGC
rnacentral:rRNA from 1 species